rnacentral:rRNA from 1 species
UACGUAGGGGGCUAGCGUUGUCCGGAUUUAUUGGGCGUAAAGAGCGUGUAGGCGGCCAGGUAGGUCUGCUGUGAAAACUCGAGGCUUAACCUCGAGAUGUCGGCGGAAACCAUCUGGCUAGAGUCCGGAAGAGGAGAGUGGAACUCCUGGUGUAGCGGUGAAAUGCGCAGAUAUCAGGAAGAACACCCGUGGCGAAGGCGGCUCUCUGGGACGGUACUGACGCUGAGACGCGAAAGCGUGGGGAGCGAACAGG